rnacentral:rRNA from 1 species
GAUGAACGCUGGCGGCGUGCCUAAUACAUGCAAGUCGAGCGAACAGACGAGGAGCUUGCUCCUCUGACGUUAGCGGCGGACGGGUGAGUAACACGUGGAUAACCUACCUAUAAGACUGGGAUAACUUCGGGAAACCGGAGCUAAUACCGGAUAAUAUAUUGAACCGCAUGGUUCAAUAGUGAAAGACGGUUUUGCUGUCACUUAUAGAUGGAUCCGCGCCGCAUUAGCUAGUUGGUAAGGUAACGGCUUACCAAGGCAACGAUGCGUAGCCGACCUGAGAGGGUGAUCGGCCACAACGGAACUGAGACCCGGUCCAGACUCCUAAGGGAGGCAGCAGUAGGGAAUCUUCCGCAAUGAGCGAAAGCCUGACGGAGCAACGCCGCGUGAGUGAUGAAGGUCUUCGGAUCGUAAAACUCUGUUAUUAGGGAAGAACAAAUGUGUAAGUAACUAUGCACGUCUUGACGGUACCUAAUCAGAAAGCCACGGCUAACUACGUG